rnacentral:rRNA from 1 species
GAUGAACGCUGGCGGCGUGCCUAAUACAUGCAAGUCGAGCGAACAGACGAGGAGCUUGCUCCUCUGACGUUAGCGGCGGGCGGGUGUGUAACACGUGUAUAACCCACCUAUAAGACUGGGAUAACUUCGGGAAACCGGAGCUUAUACCGGAUAAUCUAUUGAACCACAUGGGUCAAUAGUGAAAGUCGGUUUUGCGGUAACUUAUAGCUGGAUAUGCGCCGCAUGAGCUAGUUGGUAAGGUAACGGGCUACCAGGGCAAGGAUGCGUAGACGAACUGAUAGAGGGGUAGCCCACCUGAGAAGUGAGACGGGGUCAAGACGCCUAAGGGAGGCAGCAGUAGGGAAUCGUCCGCAGUGGGCGAAAGCCUGACGGAGCAACGCCGCGUGAGAGAUGACGGUCUUCGGAUCGUAAAGCUCUGUUAUUAGGGGAGAACAAAUGUGUCAGGAACUGUGCACGUCUUGACGGUACCUGAUCAGAAAGCCACGGCUAACUACGUG